GAGAUCGGGAGAGGGAUGCGGAAUUCCAGGUGUAGCGGUGAAAUGCGUAGAUAUCUGGAGGAACACCGGUGGCGAAGGCGGCAUCCUGGACCGGCAUUGACGCUGAGGCGCGAAAGCCAGGGGAGCAAACGGGAUUAGAUACCCCGGUAGUCCUGGCCCUAAACGAUGAGUGCUUGGUGUGGCGGGUAUCGAUCCCUGCCGUGCCGAAGCUAACGCAUUAAGCACUCCGCCUGGGGAGUACGGUCGCAAGGCUAAAACUCAAAUGAAUUGACGG
rnacentral:rRNA from 1 species